GCAGAUGUGGUGGAAUGGCAGACACGCUACCUUGAGGUGGUAGUGAGCUACGCUCGUGUGGGUUCAAGUCCCGUCAUCUGCACCA
rnacentral:tRNA from 2 species